GGAGUGAGGAGUGAGGAGUGAGCAGGUGAGGAGUGAGGAGUGAGGAUUGAGGAGUGAGGAGGUGAGGAGUGAGGAGUGAGGUGUGAGGAGAUGAGGAGAUGAGGAGUGAGGAGUGAAGAAGUGAGGAGGUGAGGAGUGAGGAGGUGAGGAGUGAGGAGGUGAGGAGUGAGGAGUGAGGAGGUGAGGAGUGAGGAGGUGAGGAGUGAGGAGAUGAGGAGUGAGGAGGUGAGGAGUGAGGAGUGA
rnacentral:lncRNA from 1 species